rnacentral:tRNA from 1 species
GGGCCUGUGGUGUAACGGAGCACAGCACCCCGUCACGGUCGCUGGUGCGGGUUCGAUUCCCGUCAGGUCCA